rnacentral:misc_RNA from 1 species
GUUGAGCGCUCCAACAAGAUGGGGGAGGAAACUUACAAAAAAAUUAGGGUUAGAGGAUACAACCUAAAAAGUGGCGUCAAAGUCAAGCCGAGGGAGCUAACAACUGCAUUGAUAGAGGAAAAGGACGCGGUCACUCACCUCCCUCUCUAAAAACAUGGACCCCAACAACCGCGUAUAACCUCCGCUUCAAGCCUUCAACGCAGCGUAUCUACCUUCCCAUUCUGCUUCCUUCUCGCUUUACUUUCCCCCUAUAUAUUCUCUCCAACUCUCCUCUCCUAGCCAUCCCUAAAACCAUUCUUUUCAUCUUCUUCUAUUUUCACUAGCAUAUGUCUCAGAGACCUUCAGUCCCUCACUCUUCUUCCAUUGCUUUUAGCCUCCAUUCCCAUCUUCUCGUCUCCAGUGACUUGAGCCCCAACUGGGUUUCAUCUUUAUAAAGUUUUUUUUCUUGAUUUUUGCCUUUUUUGGGUUCCAUAUUUUUCAUUCUUUUUUAACCAGCAAGGAAAAACAAAUUAGAGAAGGAGAGAUUACUAACCAUGGGUGUCAAAGGUUUUGUUGAAGGUGGGAUUGCUUCCAUUGUUGCUGGCUGCUCCACUCAUCCUCUCGAUCUGAUUAAGGUCCGCAUGCAGCUUCAAGGGGAGAACUUGCCAAAUCCUCACCAUCAAAUACACAACCUACGCCCUGCUUUCGCCUUCAAUUCCUCCGCUUCUGCUGCCGUCAUUCCUCCUAACUCCAUCCAUGUUCCUUCCCCAGCGCCGCCACCCCGCGUUGGUCCAGUCUCUGUCGGUGUCCGCAUUGUACAGGCUGAAGGCGUUGCUGCAUUGUUCUCCGGUGUUUCCGCCACUGUUCUCCGUCAGACACUCUACUCCACCACUCGCAUGGGCCUGUACGAUGUUCUCAAACAGAAGUGGACCAAUCCAGAUACCGGAAGCAUGCCGUUGGUGAGCAAGAUCACCGCUGGACUAAUCGCCGGAGGAAUCGGUGCGGCCGUCGGUAACCCAGCUGAUGUGGCCAUGGUCAGGAUGCAAGCCGACGGACGGCUUCCUCUGGCUCAGCGGCGCAACUACAAUGGCGUGAUUGACGCCAUCACGCGAAUGUCGAGGCAGGAAGGAAUAGCCAGCCUGUGGCGCGGGUCUUCCCUGACUGUCAACCGCGCAAUGAUCGUGACCGCAUCGCAACUGGCGUCCUACGACCAAAUCAAAGAAGCGAUUUUGGAGAAGGGAGUGAUGAAGGACGGGCUGGGGACGCACGUGACGGCGAGCUUCGCGGCAGGCUUUGUGGCUGCGGUAGCAUCAAAUCCGGUGGAUGUUAUCAAGACUAGGGUUAUGAACAUGAAAGUGGAGGCAGGAAAAGCCGCGCCGUACAACGGGGCCAUUGACUGCGCAAUGAAGACAGUGAAAGCUGAAGGGGUUAUGGCCCUUUACAAGGGGUUUAUACCUACGAUUUCAAGGCAGGGGCCUUUCACUGUGGUUCUUUUUGUGACGCUUGAGCAAGUUAGGAAAUUGCUCAAGGAUUUUUAAUCAAUUAUUGAUGAUGAUGACAAAAUUAUUAUUAGUAUUGGUUUGAGUCAUAAGAAAUUGAAAUGCAGUCUUAUUAUUAUUGAUAAUAAAAUUAUAAUUUAGAUUUUUUUUUUAAAUUUCCGAAAUAAUCUAUAGUGUUCUUACAUUAUAUUUAGA